AUUGAACGCUGGCGGCAGGCUUAACACAUGCAAGUCGAGCGAGCGGCGGACGGGUGAGUAAUGUCUGGGAAACUGCCUGAUGGAGGGGGAUAACUACUGGAAACGGUAGCUAAUACCGCAUACCAUCAGAUGUGCCCAGAUGGGGUUAGCUAGUAGGUGGGGUAAUGGCGCACCUAGGCGACGAUCCCUAGCUGGUCUGAGAGGAUGACCGGCCACACUUGAACUGAGACACGGCCCAGAGUCGUACGGGAUGCAGCAGUGGGGAAUAUUGCACAAUGGGCGCAAGCCUGAUGCAGCCAUGCCGCGUGGGGGAAGAAGGCCUUCGGGUUGUAAAGCACUUUCGCUAUCGAACGGGUAGGUGGAGAAGAAGCGCCGGCUAACUCCGUGCCAGCAGCCGCGGUAAUUC
rnacentral:rRNA from 1 species